AGAGUUUGAUCAUGGCUCAGGAUGAACGCUAGCGGCAGGCCUAAUACAUGCAAGUCGAACGGCAAGUUUUGUAGCAAUACGGAACCUAGAGUGACGUACGGGUGCGUAACACGUAUGCAACCUACCCAUAACUGGAGGAUAGCUCCCCGAAAGGGGAAUUAACCCUCCAUAGUAUAAUUGGAUGGCAUCAUUUGAUUAUUAAAACUCCGGUGGUUAUGGAUGGGCAUGCGUCUGAUUAGUUAGUUGGCGGUGUAACGGACCACCAAGACGAUGAUCAGUAGGGGAACUGAGAGGUUGAUCCCCCACACUGGCACUGAGAUACGGGCCAGACUCCUACGGGAGGCAGCAGUAGGGAAUAUUGGUCAAUGGAUGCAAGUCUGAACCAGCCAUGCCGCGUGCAGGAAGAAGGCCCUAUGGGUUGUAAACUGCUUUUGCCAGGGGAUAAAAUAUCCUUGCGAGGAUAAUUGAAGGUACCUGGUGAAUAAGCCACGGCUAACUACGUGCCAGCAGCCGCGGUAAUACGUAGGUGGCAAGCGUUGUCCGGAUUUAUUGGGUUUAAAGGGUGCGUAGGCGGUCUUAUAAGUCAGUGCUGAAAUAUCCCGGCUUAACCGGGAGGGUGGCAUUGAUACUGUAGGACUUGAGUAAAGUUGAGGUAGGCGGAAUUGACGGUGUAGCGGUGAAAUGCUUAGAUAUCGUCAAGAACACCGAUAGUGAAGACAGCUUACUAAACUUUAACUGACGCUGAGGCACGAAAGUGUGGGGAUCAAACAGGAUUAGAUACCCCGGUAGUCCAA
rnacentral:rRNA from 1 species